rnacentral:rRNA from 1 species
UACGGGGGGGCAAGCGUUGUUCGGAAUUACUGGGCGUAAAGGGCUCGUAGGCGGCCAACUAAGUCAGACGUGAAAUCCCUCGGCUUAACCGGGGAACUGCAUCUGAUACUGGAUGGCUUGAGUUCGGGAGAGGGAUGCGGAAUUCCAGGUGUAGCGGUGAAAUGCGUAGAUAUCUGGAGGAACACCGGUGGCGAAGGCGGCAUCCUGGACCGGCACUGACGCGUGAGGAGCGAAAGCCAGG